AUCAUGGCUCAGGACGAACGCUGGCGGCGCGCUUAACACAUGCAAGUCGAGCGAUGAAUUCUUGMCAGAUCCCUUCGGGGUGAAGAUAAGAUGGAUUAGCGGCGGACGGGUGAGUAACACGUGAGUAACCUGCCUUAGACAUUGGGAUAGCCUCGGGAAACCGGGAUUAAUACCAAAUGAAAUCAUAGGUGCCCAUGCACUAAUGAUCAAACUCCGGUGGUCUAAGAUGGACUCGCGUCCCAUUAGCUAGUUGGUAGGUACCGGCCCACCAAGGCGACGAUGGGUAGCCGGCCUGAGAGGGUGAACGGCCACAUUGGAACUGAGAAACGGUCCAAACUCCUACGGGAGGCAGCAGUGGGGAAUAUUGCACAAUGGAGGGAACUCUGAUGCAGCGACGCCGCGUGAACGAUGAAGGCUUUCGAGUCGUAAAGUUCUUUUAUAUGGGAAGAUAAUGACGGUACCAUAAGAAAAAGCCCCGGCUAACUACGUGCCAGCAGCCGCAGUAAUACGUAGGGGGCUAGCGUUGUCCGGAAUCACUGGGCGUAAAGGGUUCGCAGGCGGAAAUGCAAGUCAGAUGUAAAAGGCAGUAGCUUAACUACUGUAAGCAUUUGAAACUGUAUAUCUUGAGAAGAGUAGAGGUAAGUGGAAUUUUUAGUGUAGCGGUGAAAUGCGUAGAUAUUAAAAAGAAUACCGGUGGCGAAGGCGACUUACUGGGCUCAUUCUGACGCUGAGG
rnacentral:rRNA from 1 species